rnacentral:lncRNA from 1 species
AUUAUGUAAAUUUUCUCGAUCCUAAAUUCAUUACAAUAUUCAAUUUCAGGAAAUGCUCUUGACCAUCUGCUGCUGCUCCAAGAAAUGAGUCUUGGAGAUUGUUUACUACCAGAGAUGAUGGAGGGAAAUUUGAACUCUUGUCUUCUGCUGCUGAGUAGAUCCUUAAGACGGUACAACGUGAGACAGAGGGAAAUGAACAGCCCUGUCCUGCCCCUUCCCCAGCUGAAAACCACUGGAGAAUUCCAGGGAAGCAUGAAAAAGACCAGGCCUGCUUCCCAAGGGCUGGCUGGGAAAUGCUGCCACGUGGAGCUGUGGAAAGGCUCCUUAGGAAACAGGUGGAAUAACGAUGGAAAAGCAGCUUUUUCUCCUGCUGUUGGCUGUGGGAAGGGCUGA